CAGAGAUUCCCUGGAUUGGGACAUGAUCAGUAUGUCGUCCAGGUAGACGAUCAGUCGCACCCCACGGGUACGAAGGUAAGCCAUGACCGGCUUCAUGAGUUUGGUGAAACACCAAGGGGCCGACGAGAGGCCGAACGGCAGGCAAGUGAAGCGCCAGCGUCGACCAUGCCAUGUGAAGUGGAGGUAAUCCCUGCAGCUCAACGCUAUGGGGACUGUAAAGUAUGCGUCCUUCAGAUCCAACUUGGCCAACCAAUC